GCGCACCAGUCGCGAAUCCUCCGCAAUGCGCGAAAGCGCGACGGGGCCACCCCGAGUGCCGCCCGCUGAGGGCGGCUUUUCCCCGGUGUAGACAGCCGGGGGAAUAAGGGGAGGGCAAGUCUGGUGUCAGCCGCCGCGGUAAUACCAGCUCCCCGAGUGGUGGGGACGAUUAUUGGGCCUAAAGCGUCCGUAGCCGGCCCGGCAAGUCUCCCGUUAAAUCCAGCGAUCUAAUCGCUGGACUGCGGGAGAUACUGUCGGGCUAGGGGGCGGGAGAGGCCGGCGGUAUUCCCGGGGUAGGGGUGAAAUCCUAUAAUCCCGGGAGGACCACCAGUGGCGAAGGCUGCCAGCUGGAACGCGCCCGACGGUGAGGGACGAAAGCCGGGGGAGCGAACCGGAUUAGAUACCCCUGUAGU
rnacentral:rRNA from 1 species